rnacentral:rRNA from 1 species
AUUGAACGCUGGCGGCAGGCCUAACACAUGCAAGUCGAGCGGUAACACAGGGAGCUUGCUCCCGGGUGACGAGCGGCGGACGGGUGAGUAAUGUCUGGGAAACUGCCUGAUGGAGGGGGAUAACUACUGGAAACGGUAGCUAAUACCGCAUAAUGUCGCAAGACCAAAGAGGGGGACCUUCGGGCCUCUUGCCAUCAGAUGUGCCCAGAUGGGAUUAGCUAGUAGGUGGGGUAACGGCUCACCUAGGCGACGAUCCCUAGCUGGUCUGAGAGGAAGGCCAGCCACACUGGAACUGAGGCAGGGUCCAGACUCCUACGGGAGGCAGCAGUGGGGAAGAUUGCACAAUGGGCGCAAGCCUGAUGCAGCCAUGCCGCGUGUAUGAAGAAGGCCUUCGGGUUGUAAAGUACUUUCAGCGGGGAGGAAGGCGAUAAGGCUAAUAACCUUGUCGAUUGACGUUACCCGCAGAAGAAGCACCGGCUAACUCCGUGCCAGCAGCCGCAGUAA